GGGCUGAUAGGUCAUCUGGUAGAACACUGUACUAGCAUUGCAGAGAUCAGGGUUCAAAUUCCCGUUCAGGUCU
rnacentral:tRNA from 1 species